rnacentral:rRNA from 1 species
GUGAACGAGCGACGCCGCGUGCGGGAUGAAGGGCUUCGGCUUGUAAACCGCUUUUCUUUGGAAAGAAGGCCCUGAUCGUGAAUCAGGGAUUGACGGUACCAGGGGAAUAAGCCCCGGCUAACUCCGUGCCAGCAGCCGCGGUAAGACGGAGGGGGCAAGCGUUGUUCGGAAUUAUUGGGCGUAAAGGGCUCGUAGGCGGACCGGUGUGUCUGGCGUGAAAUCUCCACUGCUUAACAGGGAGGGGCCGCUGGAAACUGCCGAUCUUGAGUAUGGUAGAGGACCAUGGAAUUUCGGGUGUAGCGGUGGAAUGCGUAGAUAUCCGAAAGAACACCGGUGGCGAAGGCGGUGGUCUGGACCAAAACUGACGCUGAGGAGCGAAAGCUAGGGGAGCAAACGGGAUUAGAUACCCCGGUAGUCCUAGCCGUAAACGAU